CCCUUAGAUGUUCUGGGCUGCACGCGCGCUACACUGAUGCAUCCAGCGAGUUGUAACCUUGCUUGGUAAAGUUUGGUAAUCUGAGCCUAAUGUGCAUCGUGAUGGGAAUAGAGUUUUGCAACUAUUAGUCUUGAACGAGGAAUUCCUCGUAAGCACGAGUCAUCAGCUUGUGCUGAUUACGUCCCUGCCCUUUGUACACACCGCCCGUCGCUCCUACCGAUUGAAUGGUCCGGUGAAGCGUUCGGACCGUGGCCUUUGGACGGUUCGCCGUCUGUUGGCUGCGGGAAGUUCGUUAAACCUUAUCAUUUAGAGGAAGGAGAANUCGUAACA
rnacentral:rRNA from 1 species